rnacentral:ribozyme from 1 species
AGUCUGCAUCCGGAGCAAGGUGGGGGCAAA